rnacentral:rRNA from 1 species
CUUGCCCGCUGGCGGCAGGCCUAACACAUGCAAGUCGAGCGAGCGGAGGACGGGGGAGUAAUGUAUGGGGAUAUGCCCGAGAGCGGGGGAUAACUCCUGGAAACGGGAGCUAAUACCGCAUACUAUCGGAUGACCGAGAUGGGAUUAGCUAGUAGGUGAGGUACUUGCUCACCUCGGCGACGAUCCCUAGCCGGUCGGAGAGGAUGAUCAGCCACACUGGGACUGAGACACGGCCCAGACUCCUACGGGAGGCAGCAGUGGGGAAUUUUGGACAAUGGGGGAAACCCUUAUCCAGCCAUCCCGCGUGUAUGAUGAAGGCCUUCGGGUUGUAAAGUACUUUUGGCAGAGAAGCGGUAUCUGCAGAAUAAGCACCGGCUAACUACGUGCCAGCAGCCGCGGUAAUAC